UCUUUAUUAUCUCUAGCUGCAGUAGAAAGAAGUGAUGGAACCAGAUGAACCAUUUAUCCCCCUCUUUCAAGAAAUUUAGCCCAUAUGGGACCUUCUGUUGACUUAGCUAUCUUUUCUCUUCAUCGAGCCGGUAUUUCGUCUGUU